AGUGACCAAAGAUGCUGCAAACGUGAAGGAAGAACUGGCAAAGAUCACUUUGAAGAAACCCGAUAAAGAAACUGACAAAGCUGAUGAAGACACCGCAAAAGCAAAGGAUAUACUGGCAAAGAAAGCUUCAAAGAAGAUUACAGAUGACACAAAAAUGGACAAAGAUGCCGCAAAAGUUAAGGACAAAGUGGCAAAGAACACUUCAAAGAAAAAUGCAGACAAAG